AGCGAACGCUGGCGGCAGGCUUAACACAUGCCAGUCGAGCGGGCAUCCUUGUGGUGUCCGCGGCAGACGGGUGAGUAACGCGUGGGAACGUGCCCUUCGGUUCGGAAUAACUCAGGGAAACUUGAGCUAAUACCGGAUACGCCCUUUUGGGGAAAGGUUUACUGCCGAAGGAUCGGCCCGCGUCUGAUUAGCUAGUUGGUGAGGUUAUGGCUCACCAAGGCGACGAUCAGUAGCUGGUCUGAGAGGAUGAUCAGCCACACUGGGACUGAGACACGGCCCAGACUCCUACGGGAGGCAGCAGUGGGGAAUAUUGGACAAUGGGGGCAACCCUGAUCCAGCCAUGCCGCGUGAGUGAUGACGGCCUUAGGGUUGUAAAGCUCUUUUCUCCGGGACGAUAAUGACGGUACCGGAGGAAUAAGCCCCGGCUAACUUCGUG
rnacentral:rRNA from 1 species